rnacentral:rRNA from 1 species
GACGAACGCUGGCGGCGUGCUUAACACAUGCAAGUCGAACGAUGAAGCUGGAGCUUGCUCCGGUGGAUUAGUGGCGAACGGGUGAGUAACACGUGAGCAAUCUGCCCUUGACUCUGGGAUAACUGCGGGAAACUGUAGCUAAUACCGGAUACGAGACCUGAAGGCAUCUUCGGGUCUGGAAAGAAUUUCGGUCAAGGAUGAGCUCGCGGCCUAUCAGCUUGUUGGUGAGGUAAUGGCUCACCAAGGCGACGACGGGUAGCCGGCCUGAGAGGGGGACAGGCCAAACUGGGACUGAGACACGGCCCAGACUCCUACGGGAGGCAGCAGUGGGGAAUAUUGCACAAUGGGCGAAAGCCUGAUGCAGCAACGCCGCGUGAGGGAUGAAGGCCUUCGGGUUGUAGACCUCUUUUAGCAGGGAAGAAGCGAAAGUGACGGUACCUGCAGAAAAAGCACCGGCUAACUACGUGCCAGCAGCCGCCGUAA